UUGUUAAGGUAUCAGUGUAUGGCUUUGACUCUGGGCUAGAGUAAUGUCUGUUCUUUUUCCUCUGCACUGAAAGGACUGUUUAUCCUUUUAAGUGUAUCCAGAAAGUCAGCACAUUA